CUUGGUCAUUUAGAGGAAGUAAAAGUCGUAACAAGGUUUCCGUAGGUGAACCUGCGGAAGGAUCAUUACAAGUGAGGCUACCGAACGUUGGAAACAGCGGUUAGGAGCUUACACCCACCCGUGUUUACAUACUAUUGUUGCUUUGGCGGGCCGUGGCCUCCACUGCGGGCUCUGCUCGUGUGUGCCCGCCAGAGAACCAAACUCUGAAUGUUAGUGAUGUCUGAGUACUAUAUAAUAGUUAAAACUUUCAACAACGGAUCUCUUGGUUCUGGCAUCGAUGAAGAACGCAGCGAAAUGCGAUAAGUAAUGUGAAUUGCAGAAUUCAGUGAAUCAUCGAAUCUUUGAACGCACAUUGCGCCCUGUGGUAUUCCGCAGGGCAUGCCUGUUCGAGCGUCAUUUAACCACUCACGCCUAGCGUGGUAUUGGGGCACGCGGGUCUCCGCGGCCCUCAAAAUUAGUGGCGGCGCCGGUGGGCUCUAAGCGUAGUACAUACUCCCGCUAUAGAGUUCCGCCGGUGGCUCGCCAGAACCCCCAAUUUUUACAGGUUGACCUCGGAUCAGGUAGGGAUACCCGCUGAACUUAAGCAUAUCAAUAAGCGGAGGA
rnacentral:sRNA from 1 species